rnacentral:rRNA from 1 species
ACGAACGCUGGCGGCGUGCUUAACACAUGCCAGUCGAACGGUAAGGCUCCAGCUUGCUGGGGUACACGAGUGGCGAACGGGUGAGUAACACGUGGGUGACCUGCCCUGCACUUCGGGAUAAGCCUGGGAAACUGGGUCUAAUACCGGAUAGGACCAUGGUGUGGAUACUGUGGUGGAAAGUUUUUUCGGUGUGGGAUGGGCCCGCGGCCUAUCAGCUUGUUGGUGGGGUAAUGGCCUACCAAGGCGGCGACGGGUAGCCGGCCUGAGAGGGUGGACGGCCACAUUGGGACUGAGACACGGCCCAGACUCCUACGGGAGGCAGCAGUGGGGAAUAUUGCACAAUGGGCGGAAGCCUGAUGCAGCGACGCCGCGUGGGGGAUGACGGCCUUCGGGUUGUAAACUCCUUUCACCAUCGACGAAGGGUUUCUGACGGUAGAUGGAGAAGAAGCACCGGCUAACUACGUG